rnacentral:lncRNA from 1 species
GAAAAUUUUAGUAAAUUAUAGUCAAUUUUUAUGCAAUGAAACUAUAUAGCUCUUUUUGUUAGAAAUUGUCUUACUAACUAAGCUGCUGGUGGUUCUGUGACGAAGUAGCUCCUGUUGGCUUCCCUUACACCGGGUCAGACACAGGACAUUAAUUAAGGCUGUGUGUGGUGUUUCUGAAAGGUGAGGAGACUGGGCAUUCUGUCUUUUACUCUACAGAUACAUCGUGGGAGACUCAAAGAUUAAAAUGUGGCCACUCACUGUGGAUCAGAAGCAGAAUCUCACAUCAUAACCCCAAAUGACCUGUUACUCACCAUGUGGCCCAGCUGUCUUCAAACUCACCAGCCUCCUGCCUUAGCCUUCUAAAUGCUUGGAUUACAGGCAUGACCCACCAUAACUGGCUUUGUUUUAGUUUCAGAGAAGAUGAAACUGAUGUGCGUCAAAAAGUUAUGGAGGCUGGGAAGACCUAGAAUGUGGCAUCACUAUUUGCUGAAAUUUUUAAUAUAAUGCCUCUUAGCCUGGUUUGGAGAAAACGUCACAGAGAGGCACCAUUUGUUGUGGUUUUACAUGAAAAUUUUCUGACCCUGAACCUGGUUUGAUGGAAAUCAUUUGCUGAGGUUAUUUAGAAAAUUGUUACCUCAAAAAUGACCUAGGGGUCCUUAGAAUAAUAACACACAGAAGAAUAGCCUCAUUUUUCUGUUGGGCCCAGGAAACCAUGCCGAUUACCGACCGAGCUCUCAAUGGAAAAAUGCAGUCGGCGUGAACCACGCACGAACACAGCAGAGAAAGAAGAAAACACACACCACGAGGAACCCUAAUAGGACAAUACAUUAUAAGCCUCAUGGUACAUCCACUUGGUGUGCUGGGAGAGUCAGGAUGAGGACCUGAGAAGAACAGCAGCUUGAACCUGACUUCAUUUAACAGCCCACUGCCCUCUUGCCAAGAACCCAUCACAGACCUUCCCAGAAGAGAGGGAUGAGCCUCACCUAUGAAUAAGUCCUCAGAAACUCAAAUUUGAUUCUAAUGGAUUGUUUUCUCAGAAAGACUGAGCAUGUCCCCCCACAUCUCUGUCAUUUCCCACAGUAGUAACCUCUGCAGAUGCCACAUAGAAAACAAAACAAAACAAAAAAACAUGAGGUUGGUGGGCAGAUAGGCAGGGUAUAAACAAACAGCCUUGUAACCCAGAAGCUGUGUGAUAUACAGUAAACUUCACAACACUGAAAAGAUGUCCUAUCUGUUAAAAUGGGGUAAUAACAACUACCCGAAUGUUUAGGAAUAGAACUUCAAUAAAUGAUACAUUUUAUAGUACAGCAGACCAUCCUGUAAAGGUUUCAUCCUUCACUGUGGUGAUAAAUAUCCCAAACCACAUUGAAAAGCAUUGCAUCUACAUUUAUCUACACUGUAACUGUACUGUAAAUCAUGGGGGAGGGGAGAAUCAUAAAAACACCACCUGUCACCGUGUCAUUAAAGCAAGUUGGAAGUGAUACUUACAGAAACACAGCAAGAGCACCCCCAGUCACACAGUUCAAUCUCUUAGCAAGCGUUUUCUUUCUAGCCCAGUGGUUCUCAGUUUGGAAUUUUUGGCACUGCCUAGAGAUAGUUUUGUUGUUAAAACUGAGAAAAGAGCCGGGCGUGGUGGCACACGCCUUUAAUCCCAGCACUCAGGAGGCAGAGGCAGG